AAACGGAUUGUCUUGUGCAGAGUGUCAUCAUUGUGAAGUCUUGUAAGGGAGAGACGAGCGGUGCAACUCGGACUCGUCCGCCUCAACACCAGCCAGAGCUCAGCACUCAGGUAACAGAUGGAGUCACCUUUGAUUUCGCAGAACAGGCCCCCCACUUAGUGUAUUUGACAAGCUGAGUUUGACACUCUGUAUCCGUGAGUGUCAGUUUGUCAAAUACCCCAAGUGAGGUGUCACUAGUCGACAGCUCUUUAACCCUUCCUGGGUUACUCCAGAGACGGAGCAGCCAGCUCCACAGGUUGAUCUACCCGGCAACAGACUCGAACUGCUUUUAUUUUGAAACUUUUUUAAUUUUUUUAAUUUUAAUGGACAUAGACAAGGAAGUUUACUGUGUCAUAUGUUUCACUGUCAGUUAUGAAAUCACUCUUAAUUGUUUUUUUUUUUCAUGAACAGGAAAGGUUUGUUUUACGAGAUGAAAAUCCAAAUAUGUGGAAGAAAUGAAUCGACAGAGCCUUUGUAGAGAUGUGUGAAUAAAAGAGAGGUUUUGCUUAUAGGGAUUUAAAACACGGAUUUAAAAAAAAAAGUUUGUGCUCAGACUGUUUAUUUAUAAUGAUAACAGAGAAGGUGGCACAUAUUGUUAUUUUCAGGGUAGGUGAGGUGGCUCUGAUUGCAUCAUGCGGUAUGAUUUUGGUUCAUUUUUAUGUUUCACUUUGACACAGCUUGCAGAGGGAUACAGGGGUUAAUAAUAAAUCCUUUAAAAAGUGGCAUCACGGACAAUAAUCUCCUGGGAGAAAUCAAAAAGCAUGCUCACUGUAUCUAUUUAUAUCAAAUGUGUUCACAGGCAUGUCUUGUGUAAGAGCCAAUCCAUGUAUUAAAAGAUCAAACUGUGUUAAAGUGUGUAGUUUGUACUUCAUACAAAGACUGAAGGGUUGCAGAGUAUUUUUUUUUUAAGACUGCAUGUCCGUGAACUGUUUAAGUGUUUUGCCUCAUUUCCCCAGUUUGCUAAGCUGCUUUGUUCGGCCUUGAUUUAAUGCUCUGCUCGCUGCCAUCAUGUGGGAGAACAUUAAGUGAAAACCAGACUCAGACUUGGCAGAGGGGAAGAGUGAAGCCCAAUAAAUUGUGACCCCGGA